rnacentral:rRNA from 1 species
GAUGAACGCUGGCGGCGUGCCUAAUACAUGCAAGUCGAGCGAACAGACGAGGAGCUUGCUCCUCUGACGUUAGCGGCGGACGGGUGAGUAACACGUGGAUAACCUACCUAUAAGACUGGGAUAACUUCGGGAAACCGGAGCUAAUACCGGAUAAUAUAUUGAACCGCAUGGUUCAAUAGUGAAAGACGGUUUUGCUGUCACUUAUAGAUGGAUCCGCGCCGCAUUAGCUAGUUGGUAAGGUAACGGCUUACCAAGGCAACGAUGCGUAGCCGACCUGAGAGGGUGAUCGGCCACCCUGGAACUGAGACACGGUCCAGACUCCUACGGUAGGCCGCAGUAGGGAAUCUUCCGCAAUGGGCGAAAGCGUGACGGAGCACCGCCGCGGGAGUGAUGAAGGUCUUCGGAUCGUAAAACUCUGUUAUUAGGGAAGAACAAAUGUGUAAGUAACUAUGCACGUCUUGACGGUACCUAAUCAGAAAGCCCCGGCUAACUACGUG